GGAGCGGCCGAUGUCUGAUUAGCUAGUUGGUAAGGUAAUGGCUUACCAAGGCAACGAUCAGUAGUUGGUCUGAGAGGACGACCAGCCACACUGGGACUGAGACACGGCCCAGACUCCUACGGGAGGCAGCAGUGGGGAAUUUUGGACAAUGGGCGCAAGCCUGAUCCAGCAAUGCCGCGUGAGUGAAGAAGGCCUUCGGGUUGUAAAGCUCUUUCAGUUGAGAAGAAAAGAUUGUGACUAAUAAUUGCAAUCCAUGACGGUAUCGACAGAAGAAGCACCGGCUAACUACGUGCCAGCAGCCGCGGUAAUACGUAGGGUGCGAGCGUUAAUCGGAAUUACUGGGCGUAAAGGGUGCGCAGGCGGUUCUGUAAGUCAGAUGUGAAAUCCCCGGGCUUAACCUGGGAAC
rnacentral:rRNA from 1 species